CCUACGGGAGGCAGCAGUGAGGAAUAUUGGACAAUGGGCGCAAGCCUGAUCCAGCCAUGCCGCGUGCAGGAAGAAGCAUCUAUGGUGUGUAAACUGCUUUUGUACAGGAAGAAACACUCCCUCGUGAGGGAGCUUGACGGUACUGUAAGAAUAAGGACCGGCUAACUCCGUGCCAGCAGCCGCGGUAAUACGGAGGGUCCGAGCGUUAUCCGGAAUCAUUGGGUUUAAAGGGUCCGUAGGCGGUUUAAUAAGUCAGUGGUGAAAUCUGGUCGCUCAACGAUCAAACGGCCAUUGAUACUGUUAGACUUGAAUUAUAAGGAAGUAACUAGAAUAUGUAGUGUAGCGGUGAAAUGCUUAGAUAUUACAUGGAAUACCAAUUGCGAAGGCAGGUUACUACUUAUGGAUUGACGCUGAUGGACGAAAGCGUGGGGAGCGAACAGGAUUAGAUACCCUGGUAGUCCACGCCGUAAACGAUGGAUACUAGCUGUUCGGAGCAAUCUGAGUGGCUAAGCGAAAGUGAUAAGUAUCCCACCUGGGGAGUACGUUCGCAAGAAUGAAACUCAAAGGAAUUGACGGNNGNGAGNGCGAGGCGACGACGAGGGAGGAGG
rnacentral:rRNA from 1 species